GUCCGGAUUCAUUGGGUGUAAAGGGUGCGCAGGCGGGCCUGUAAGUCAGGGGUGAAAUCNCACGGCCUAACCGUGGAACUGCCUUUGAUACUGCAGGUCUUGAGUACUGGAGAGGUCGCCGGAAUUCGUGGUGUAGCGGUGAAAUGCGUAGAUAUCACGAGGAACGCCGGAGGUGUAGACGGGUGACUGGACAGUUACUGACGCUCAGGCACGAAAGCGUGGGGAGCAAACAGGAUUAGAUACCCUGGUAGUCCACGCUGUAAACGAUGGAUACUCGGUGUUGGCCCUCUAUUAUUGGGGCAGCGCCUAAGCUAACGCAUUAAGUAUCCCACCUGGGGAGUACGAUCGCAAGGUUGAAACUCAAAGGAAUUGACGGGGGCCCGCACAAGCGGUGGAGCAUGUGGCUCAAUUCGAUGCAACGCGAGGAACCUUACCUGGGCUCGAACGCUACCGGACAACCCCUGAAAGGGGGUCUUCUUCGGACUGGUAGUGAGGUGCUGCAUGGCUGUCGUCAGUUCGUGUCGUGAGAUGUUGGGUUAAGUCCCGCAACGAACGCAACCCCUAUCGCUAGUUACCAGCGGGUAAUGCCGGGGACUCUAGCGAGACUGCCUGCGCAAGCGGUGAGGAAGGUGGGGAUGACGUCAAGUCAUCAUGGCCUUUAUGCCUAGGGCUGCACACGUGCUACAAUGGUCGGUACAAUGGGCUGCCACUUCGCGAGAAGGAGCUAAUCCUGAAAGCCGGCCUCAGUUCGGAUCGAAGUCUGCAACUCGACUUCGGAAGUCGGAAUCGCU
rnacentral:rRNA from 1 species